UGGAUCGUCUCCGUCAUUUUGAUGAAAGUGGUGUUGAUGUGCUUCUUUUUGUUGUUUAUGGAGGAAGUCGCAGUUUUCUCUGGAUGGAUUUUCAACGGAUUCAACAAUUCUCCUCAUCUCAAAUUGAUU
rnacentral:ribozyme from 1 species